rnacentral:rRNA from 1 species
UACAGAGGGUGCGAGCGUUAAUCGGAAUAACUGGGCGUAAAGGGCGCGUAGGUGGUGAUUUAAGAUUCAUGUGAAAUCCCUGGGCUUAACCUAGGAAUGGCAUGGAUGACUGGGUCGCUGGAGUAUUGUAGAGGGUAGUGGAAUUUCCGGUGUAGCGGUGAAAUGCGUAGAGAUCGGAAGGAACAUCAGUGGCGAAGGCGGCUACCUGGACAAAUACUGACACUGAGGCGCGAAAGCGUGGGGAGCAAAC